AGAUUCACACAGUGGCUGUAUCGUAGCCAAUGAAGUUUAUCUGAGGCAUAAUUAUUGCUAAUUGAAAACUUCCCACAAAGUGACUUUUUGUGGUUAGCUUGAUAACUUAAAUCAUAACUUAAUAUCAUUUUUAUUGGGAUAUGA